CCCGUGAUAGCUCAGUUGGUAGAGCGGAGGACUGUAGAUCCUUAGGUCGCUGGUUCGAAAUCCGGCUCGCGGGA